AUUGAACGCUGGCGGCAUGCCUUACACAUGCAAGUCGAACGGCAGCACGGGAGCAAUCCUGGUGGCGAGUGGCGAACGGGUGAGUAAUAUAUCGGAACGUGCCCAGUCGUGGGGAUAACGUAGCGAAAGCUACGCUAAUACCGCAUACGAUCUAUGGAUGAAAGCGGGGGAUCGCAAGACCUCGCGCGAUUGGAGCGGCCGAUAUCAGAUUAGGUAGUUGGUGAGGUAAAGGCUCACCAAGCCGACGAUCUGUAGCUGGCUGAGAGGACGACCAGCCACACUGGGACUGAGACACGGCCCAGACUCCUACGGGAGGCAGCAGUGGGGGAAUUUUUGGGACAAUGGGCGCAAGCCUGAUCCAGCAAUGCCGCGUGCAGGAUGAAGGCCUGGUGUAACUGCUUUG
rnacentral:rRNA from 1 species